rnacentral:rRNA from 1 species
AGAGUUUGAUCCUGGCUCAGAUUGAACGCCGGCGGCAUGCUUUACACAUGCAAGCCGAACGGCAGCACGGGCUUCGGCCUGGUGGCGAGUGGCGAACGGGUGAGUAAUGCGUCGGAACGCGCCGAGUAGUGGGGGAUAACGCAGCGAAAGCUGUGCUAAUACCGCAUACGUACUGAGGUAGAAAGUGGGGGACCUUCGGGCCUCACGCUAUUCGAGCGGCCGACGUCUGAUUAGCUAGUUGGUGGGGUAAAGGCUCACCAAGGCGACGAUCAGUAGCGGGUCUGAGAGGAUGAUCCGCCACACUGGGACUGAGACACGGCCCAGACUCCUACGGGAGGCAGCAGUGGGGAAUUUUGGACAAUGGGCGCAAGC